rnacentral:ncRNA from 1 species
GACCCCGUGAGGAUGCCCACAGUCUUCUAAAGAAGACUAGGAGCUGGUAUCAGGCUCAUAAUAUUGCCCACAACACCUUGCUAAGCCACACCCCUAAGGGAGUACAGCAGUAAUAAACAUUAAGCCAUAAGUGAAAACUUGACUUAGUUACAGUUAAUAGGGCCGGUAAAACUCGUGCCAGCCACCGCGGUUAUACGAGAGACCCAAACUGAUAAACACGGCGUAAAGGGUGGUUAAAAUUAAAUAAGAUAAGGCUGAAUUAACCCCUGACUGUUAUACGUUACGGGUUGAAGAAAAACUAAAACGAAAGUAACCUUAAGAAUUUGAACCCACGAAAGCUAAGAAACAAACUGGGAUUAGAUACCCCACUAUGCUUAGCCUUAAACCUCGAUGAUACACCACAUAAAUCAUCCGCCAGGGUACUACGAGCGUAAGCUUAAAACCCAAAGGACUUGGCGGUGCUUUAGACCCCCCUAGAGGAGCCUGUUCUAUAACCGAUAAUCCCCGUUUAACCUCACCCUCUUUUGCCUAACCCGCCUAUAUACCACCGUCGUCAGCUUACCCUAUGAAGGUCAAUAAGUAAGCAAAAUUGAUUUAUCCCAAAACGUCAGGUCGAGGUGCAGUGAAUAAGAGGGGAAGAAAUGGGCUACAUUUACUAUAUUAGUAAACACGGAAGAAAUGUUGAAACCACAUUUUUGAAGGAGGAUUUAGCAGUAAAAGGAGAAUAGAGUGCCCCUUUGAAACUGGCCCUAAAGCGCGCACACACCGCCCGUCACUCUCCCCAUAUAAUAUGUAUACAUUAUAUAAAAACCUGUUUUAUUAAUUUAGGGGAGGCAAGUCGUAACAUGGUAAGCGUACCGGAAGGUGCUCUUGGAAAAAU